rnacentral:rRNA from 1 species
AACGCGAAGAACCUUACCUGGGCUCGAAAUGCUGUGGACCAGCUGGUGAAAGCCGGCCUUCCCGCAAGGGACCGCAGUAUAGGUGCUGCAUGGCUGUCGUCAGCUCGUGUCGUGAGAUGUUGGGUUAAGUCCCGCAACGAGCGCAACCCUUGUCCUGUGUUGCCAUACCGAAAGGUGGAACUCGCAGGAGACCGCCAGGGAUAACCUGGAGGAAGGUGGGGAUGACGUCAAGUCCUCAUGGCCUUUAUGUCCAGGGCUACACACGUGCUACAAUGGACGGUACAAAGGGCUGCCAACCCGCGAGGGGGAGCCAAUCCCAAAAAACCGUUCUCAGUUCGGAUUGCAGGCUGCAACUCGCCUGCAUGAAGCUGGAAUCGCUAGUAAUGGCGGAUCAGAACGCCGCCGUGAAUACGUUCCCGGGCCUUGUA